UGGGGAAUUUUGGACAAUGGGCGCAAGCCUGAUCCAGCCAUGCCGCGUGCGGGAAGAAGGCCUUCGGGUUGUAAACCGCUUUUGUCAGGGAAGAAAUCCUUUGAGCUAAUACCUCGGGGGGAUGACGGUACCUGAAGAAUAAGCACCGGCUAACUACGUGCCAGCAGCCGCGGUAAUACGUAGGGCGCAAGCGUUAAUCGGAAUUACUGGGCGUAAAGCGUGCGCAGGCGGUUAUGCAAGACAGAGGUGAAAUCCCCGGGCUCAACCUGGGACCUGCAUUUGUGAAUGAAUAGCUAGAGUACGGCAGAGGGGGAUGGAAUUCCGCGUGUAGCAGUGAAAUGCGUAGAUAUGCGGAGGAACACCGAUGGCGAAGGCAAUCCCCUGGGCCUGUACUGACGCUCAUGCACGAAAGCGUGGGGAGCAAACA
rnacentral:rRNA from 1 species